GAAACAUCUCAGGGCUGCCAUCCAGCUGCUGGAGCUUUAGAUUUAGCCCAGUCGCUGUCUGCCGCAGAAGAGGAUGUUCACAAAGGCUUCUUUCCUGCGCUCGCCUGCUGCUCAGGCUGUGUGCUGGGAACUAAAGAAGCAGAAACAGACACAGACUGCCCCUGCUCCAGCAAUACAAUGUAUAACCUGGCAGAGAAGACAAAGGAUCCUCAAGAAAACACUAAAUGGAUAGCUACAAACUGACGUGGAUUAAAAAUCCUUGCUUUUGAUGGAGACUUUACCUCUUUUAUGUUUACAUGGAUAGAGCUGGAACAUAUUCUUCUUAGCAAAGUAUCUCAAGAAUGGAAGAAAAAGUAUCCAAUGUACUCAGCCCUACUAUGAAACCAGUUUAUAGCUUUCAUAUGAAACCCAUAACCCAAUUAUAGCCCAAGAAUUUGG